UACGUAGGGUGCGAGCGUUGUCCGGAAUUAUUGGGCGUAAAGAGCUCGUAGGCGGCUUGUCGCGUCGGAUGUGAAAGCCCGGGGCUUAACUCCGGGUCUGCAUUCGAUACGGGCAGGCUAGAGUUCGGUAGGGGAGAUCGGAAUUCCUGGUGUAGCGGUGAAAUGCGCAGAUAUCAGGAGGAACACCGAUGGCGAAGGCAGAUCUCUGGGCCGUAACUGACGCUGAGACGCGAAAGCGUGGGGAGCGAACAGG
rnacentral:rRNA from 1 species